GGCAAACCAAACUCCUGCACACAUGAUGCUUCAUCCCUAAAAACAUCAGCCACAAAAACAGCACCAAUGUUUUGAAAAAGCACCUGGAGAUUGUCCACUCAGCCAGCCCACAGCUGUUAAAAACAUUGCUGGUACAAAGAAAUACAUCAGUUUUAUCUCACCACAGAGCCUUAAGGCACAAGAGAUUUUUAAGCUCACAAGAAAAAAAAUGGAAGCAGUCAACAGAAGUGAGCUCUCAUCUGAGGUGAGGAAGUAUGCAAGGCUUUUCCAACUGUUAAAGACAAGGGCCAGUACAAAUUAG